UGAUAAUCAGAUGUCAACUGCUCAUCCAAGUUCCUCUGUUUUUCUCAUUGGAUUUCUCUUGGUUUUGAUACAUCCGCGGUGAAGCAUGUUAUAUUGGGGAACCUGGGGUGACGGAUGUGUGUCUUCUUGGUUGUGAUAUUAAGAGUAGCGUGGGGCUGGAGGCGUUGCAUGCUAGUUGAUUUAAUUGUGGUGACAUUUGUGGAGGCGUCAGUCGCUCUGUCUGCGCAAUUGAUAUAACAACUUGGUCUACUGUUUGUGUAUGCUGCAGGUAGGGAUAUAAAUGGCAGCUUUGAUGGAUUGUUGAUAGCUGUAGGGUCGGCAUGGCCCAAAUCAUGUACUAUCUUAAUUUCCCGUUUCAAUUCUUUGUAAUAAUAAUUUCCAUGAAAACGUUAUUCGCUUGUUUGAUUGUCAGUUAAUUUGAUCAUAA